rnacentral:lncRNA from 1 species
CGUCACUCUGUUUUAGUUUGAUGUCUGACAUUGUCCUCUGAAAAUAUUUCACCAAAGCAAGGACUUCCAUGUGGUUUUAUCUUAUUUGAAAGUUAUCUAUUGGAGAAGUAAAAGCCAUAUAAAAAUUAUUGUGUUUUGAGAGAAAAGGAACAUUAAAUUAAAUCAAACAUUCAUGAAGUUUAGAAGGAAAAUGUUUGCAGGUUUGAGUAACCGGUGCUUUAAGUGUGAAGCACUUUGAAUUAUUUCUCAAGCUUUUGCUCAAAUUAUCAAAUAUUUGAUCAGAAAUCAAAUAAUUCAGACACAUGCACAACAUUUGAAACACAAGCACCACUGGUACUAAGGUUUUAGGAUGGUCCGGUUAAAUCACGGGGUCGUGGCUACUUGACUUUGUUCUCUCCAGGUCCUCUGCAAUUAUCUUCUGCAGUUGCACUCGAGUCUCAGUCAUGCUGAACACUCCUCUCAGGUAGUCCAGGUCUUUCACAGUGGCUGCCACUCUGUGUCCUACACCUGACAGCUCUGCCGACAGCACUGGAAUCAUAAAGAAGGGGAAAAGCAUUUGCGGCUUCAAUAUAUUUAAGAUAAGUAUUUAACACAGUCAACAACACCAGACCUAACACAUUCACACUGCUGGAUACGCCUCAGAGAGCAACUUGAGUUUCAGUUUCUUGCCGAAGGUCACGUAAAGUUUGAAAACUGGGGAUUAAACUGCCAACCUUUAAGAGAAAAAAGAUUAAAUUCCUCUGACCAGUUCUUCACAUGUGGCUCAACCUCUAGCCUCUCAUAUUAUAGAACAAAAAACAUGUCUGGGGAUAAUAUACACUGGUUUCCCUUCAUAAAAUUAUUAUUAUUGUUGUUGUUUCGGUUUCAAGAUAAAUUCUUUUAUAUCUUAGUGGAAAUACUAUUCUAAAAUAUGCAGGACCAGGUCAUGUCAUAGAGCUUUUUUCACAAUUUUACAGGGUAAAACAACAAAAAUGUGUAUAUUUAAAGAUACUGCAUCUGUGUCAAGGCAGCUGUUUUGGAGCUCUUAUGGACACAGUGACAUUUUCCAUAAGAGAUAUUCUCUUAUUAGUACCUGUGUUUUCUUUCUUUAGCUAACAAAACUUCUUCCUCUGCUUCUUCACCUUCUCUGACGUGUAUCCAAGUUCACAGGUCAGGAGUAAAACUUCGCUCCUCUCCUCCUCAGCCUCCUCUUCACUGUCUCUGACUUUUCUCUCUCUAACCUGACCCUCACCAUGGUCCCCAGGUCGUGAGCCAUGUCUCUCAGCAUCUUCAGUUCACUCCAGAUAGACUACUCAGACACCUGAGCUGACCCUGUGGACAAGAAGAGUAGCAGCACUGUAUGGGAAAUCUCAAUUCUAGACGACUCACUUGUCUUUUUUACAAUAAGUAUGACUUAAGGAGAAUGUAGUAGGAGUGAAGGAGAUAAUAUACUUUUAUGUUUACAAAGUCCCUCACAAAACACAGGUGAGUUUGAGCUGACUCAUCAUCAUCAGGUUUCUUGAAGCUAGGAUUCUUGAACCUGUGCUCAACUAACCAACUUAAUUUUCUGCAACUUUUUCUCAAUUUUUUAAUAUUCUUAUAAUUUGUCAACUGCUGAUGGAUAUUUUGGCUGGGAGACGAGUUUAUUCAAGAGAAGGGCUUCUUUCAUUGAGAUGGAGCAAAUCUCGCCAACGACAUCCAAGUCCAGCGGACAUCUGGAGGUGUCCUCAUGGGAAACGUCAGCUUUGUGUCCAUCGAAAUCAACAAGCUGGAGAUAUUGGUAUAGACUGAGAAAGCUUACUGUGAGUGUGGUCUCCUGUGUAUUAGUGAAACCUAGUUGAAUCAAAAACAACCUGGAUUUAAGUGUGGACCUGCCUGGCUGAGAUGUUAAAGCUAGUGGCAAGACGAAAGGAGGAGGCCUGGCUUUAUUUGUCAACCAGAGAUGGUGUAACUCUUCACACAUAACUGUCAAGGAGAGGAUGUGUUUUCCAGAUAUUGAACUGUUGGCAGUUGCCCUUCAGUCGUUGCCUUGGGUGGGAUGUAUACAUGUAUUGUUAUAUGACUGAACUCCCUUGAAACAUAAUAUGGCCACAGUAACAUGUGACGUUCUCCAUAAUACUGAUGCAAGGAUACAGACUCAACAUCCUGAGGCACUUGUAAUAACAUCAGAAGACAUCAACCAUGCUACCCUCUCCUCUCACCUGACUGGAUUCACACAGUUUGUUAACUGUCCAACCAGAGAAAACUAAACCCUCGAUCUGCCAAAUGACAACGAGACAGAUGCACCCUGAGGAAGGUAGGUUCUAAAAACAUGGAUCAUCCACUUUAUAACACAUCCAUUUUUAUUUUUAUUUUUUGGAUUGAUUGUAUUGAUUAUUCAAUCAAAUUUACAUACAGUACAAUUUUAAACAAAGAAUUCCCUAUUUUUUUGGAGAUCAAAAAGGAAUAGGUUGAAGCUAUUAUGUAACGACCCUCAUUCCUUCCUAUUCGUUUAUCCUUUACAUGUCUUUUGCCAAAAAAUAACCAAAGCUCCAAAGUCUAGCAUGACUAUAUAACUAAUCAUUAAUACUAAAACAAAGACCUUCUACAUACAUAUAUACAUCCAUACCUUAAUACACACAUAUACACACAAAUAUAGACUUUAUAUAUAUACCAAGAAUACUUCAAAUUUCUUAUGUGUACCAUAUACAGUAUAAUAAGUGUGGGAAAACAAAAAUCAAUUUUUUUUUUUUUUUUCAAUCAUACUCUGCUUUGAUUUGCUUUAAAACUGUGCUAUAGUUUUGCUUUGUUUAAGCUCAUGGGGCUAAAAAAUGAGGUGGAUGGCUCUUCUCGCUUCACUGCAGGAGAUCUUCAGUACCCGUAGCCAUCAGACUUUUUAAUUCUUCUAUAAAUAGUAGAUAAUAUGAGACUUCAGACAAAUGAAUUUACCUUUAGGGAUAAAUAAAGUUAUUGUAUUGUCAGACUUUGGCACUAACCUCCUGUAUGUCAGGAAAGAACUAAGUGUUAGCUGUGUUUUUUAUUAGUCGUAAAACUAAGAGUUAAACUGGCAAGAGUUUGGGGGUACUAUUUAUUUAUUCAUUUUAAAACCUUCUCAUCAUGUAAACAAAAAGAGUAAAUUUGAACAUUUUCAACUGAAAAGUAAAAAAAUAUUCAAAGUUACCUGACUGCACUUCUCAAUAAUCACACCAGCUUCUUAAUAAAGCAAACAGCAUACCAGAGCACUCAACUGUAACUUAUUUGUCCUCUCCUUUUGAAAAUAGCUGAUAACACGCUCUUUGUUAAGGUGUGACUGAAUAUUUGAUGCCGUUUGGUAUUUCAAAGUCGCCUUACAUGAACCGCCACCUUUUUCAUUAUCACUUACGACACCACAUUAGUCACAUUGUUCAAAAAAAAAAAAACUCUUGAGCUUUUAUUAAAGACUUGAUUAUGUCUGCCAGGUAACACGGUGAAGACAAAUGAGUUAAAGCAUGUCAGAGAAAACACUUUUUUCAACUUUAAUCACAUGAAUACACUUAAUGUGCUUCAUGAUGUGUGUAAGAGUGAAUAGAAAAUCAGCUUCACCGUCAGUUUUAUUGCUGUUUUUAGCAAGAGACACUAACAGAGACAUUUGAUUGAUCAGAAUUAAGGUACAAAUUGUUGAGGAGGGUUUAAAAUUGUGAAAAAGUUACAAAAAAGUAAUUCUGCAUUUUUAAAUCAAACUUAAAUGGCAUCCUCACAAUGAACAAUAUGAACAUCAGCAACAUAAUCGAGUGGAUUACAUUGAUUUCUAUCCAAACUGGCCACAAGUAGGGAUGGCUGUAUUGAUUCUAAAGUAACCAUACUUUGUACUUCUAACAAAUAUUGAUACCCAAUGAGUACUUUUCAAACUUUUCAUAUUUUGGAGGCAAAUAUUGUAGAGAACGCUCAACUUCACUAUCUGAAUGCUUUGGCUGAUUUUGCAGAGAACAAGGAUUUAAUUGGCUAUUAAAAAAGUCAAUGUAUACAAAUUUAUAUGCUCUAUUGGCAUUUAUUGUCAAAAACAUCCCCAUUGUAUUAAACUAAGAAUUUGGUAUCUUCCAUCCCCAUCCAUUCAUGAUUUAGGUGCUGUGCUUUGACUCUGGGGUCUUUUCCAUUUUUCUGUUUACAAAUUACAAAAACAAGAGGUUAGGAAAUGCCCCCUUGACGCUGAUACAUCCAGCCUGUCUCCUGUGGACUGCUGAUGGCAAUGUGAUUUGUUUGACCUGAUCUGAUGCUUGCAUGCCGUUAGAGCACACUGUUUCACCUUCAGUUUGGUUUUGUUUGGUAGAAAUGUGCUGUUUUUAGUGUGGAGUAAAAGUUGAAUUAAAACAGCUCAGUUGACUGAACCUUGCUCAGCAUCAUACAACAGUUAACAAUUUAAUGGGACUUUUUAAAAUAUUUGGCAGCUACAUAAAAAGAUCAGUCUCUUUGAAAGUUUAUGGAGACCAAAUCAAAGCGAAAAGACGAGUUAAGAUUGGAUCUAUGCAAUGAUGUUUUCACAGACUUGUGUUUAUAACUUGUUUUGCCUCCAAGUGGCCAAAAAAUCUGUUACACACCAGGUUUAUUUUAAGGCAAGGUAAGUGCAGCAGAAAAUAACCACUAGAGCAUCAAAGUUUAACACUGCUGUAGUCGUUCAGUCGUUUUCUAACCCCAGAGACAUGUGAUACGUUUUCAUAACGUCAUUCUUGGAACAAACACAUCUUUCUCAUUUCAGAGAAGACUUGAUUUCAUCCCUGGAGGUGUAAAUGAUGGCAUGCUGAAGUAAUGUGCUUCUGCUGUUCACUUCACCUCUAAAGAAGCUGAAUUUUACCCGACAUUUUCCCAGAAUCGUCUGACACUGACUCUAAAGGACUUUAUUUGUGGAGGUUUAAAAAGGCCACUGAAGGCUUUGUUUCUUAGAAAUGCAUAAGCUGUCCUAUUGAAAGAUUUCUGUAUUAUAAAUGUGUUUUUAAAUGUUUAAAAUCUUAAGUUUAAGGUCCAUGAAGGUCUCGAGUCCAACGCUUUAAAAAGAUUCUGUUACUUCAGCUCACUUUUCAGUCCAUUACAGAAUCUACUCUCCUGCUGCUUUGCUUUUUUGCUGCGAGCGGUCCAGCUGUGUGGAAAGACUAAAACCUUGAGGACUGAGGGUGACAUGUUAGGUAAGACUUCUAACAAAAGGCAUGACGUAUGUCAGGG